UACGUAGGGUGCAAGCGUUGUCCGGAAUUAUUGGGCGUAAAGAGCUCGUAGGCGGUCUGUCGCGUCGGCUGUGAAAACUCGGGGCUCAACCCCGAGCCUGCAGUCGAUACGGGCAGACUAGAGUGCUGUAGGGGAGACUGGAAUUCCUGGUGUAGCGGUGAAAUGCGCAGAUAUCAGGAGGAACACCGGUGGCGAAGGCGGGUCUCUUGGCAGUAACUGACGCUGAGGAGCGAAAGCGUGGGGAGCGAACAGG
rnacentral:rRNA from 1 species